rnacentral:rRNA from 1 species
AGUGAACGCUGGCGGUAGGCCUAACACAUGCAAGUCGAACGGCAGCACAGUAAGAGCUUGCCCUUACGGGUGGCGACUGGCGGACGGGUGAGGAAUACAUCGGAAUCUACUUUUUCGUGGGGGAUAACAUAGGGAAACUUACGCUAAUACCGCAUACGACCUACGGGUGAAAGCAGGGGAUCUUCGGACCUUGCGCGAUUGAAUGAGCCGAUGGCGGAUUAGCUAGUUGGCGGGGUAAAGGCCCACCAAGGCGACGAUCCGUAGCUGGUCUGAGAGGAUGAUCAGCCACACUGGAACUGAGACACGGUCCAGAAUCCUACGGGAGGCAGCAGUGGGGAAUAUUGGCCAAUGGGCGAAAGCCUGAUCGAGCAAUACCGCGUGGGUGAAGAAGGCCUUCGGGUUGUAAAGCCCUUUUGUUGGGAAAGAAAAGCAGCAGGUUAAUACCCCGCUGUUCUGACGGUACCCAAAGAAUAAGCACCGGCUAACUACGUG